GUAACGGCGAGUGAAGCGGCAAUAGCUCAAAUUUGAAAUCUGGCCUUCGGGUCCGAGUUGUAAUUUGUAGAGGAUGCUUUUGGUGCGGUGCCUUCCGAGUUCCCUGGAACGGGACGCCUUAGAGGGUGAGAGCCCCGUACGGUUGGACACUAAGCCUCUGUAAAGCUCCUUCGACGAGUCGAGUAGUUUGGGAAUGCUGCUCUAAAUGGGAGGUAAAUUUCUUCUAAAGCUAAAUAUUGGCCAGAGACCGAUAGCGCACAAGUAGAGUGAUCGAAAGAUGAAAAGCACUUUGAAAAGAGGGUUAAAUAGCACGUGAAAUUGUUGAAAGGGAAGCGUUUGCGACCAGACCUUUUCCUGGCGGAUCAUCCGGUGUUCUCACCGGUGCACUUCGCCAGGUUUAGGCCAGCAUCGGUUUCCGCAGAGGGAUAAAAGCUCUGGGAACGUAGCUCCUUCGGGAGUGUUAUAGCCCUCUGCAUAAUACCUUUGUGGGGACCGAGGACCGCGCUUCGGCAAGGAUGCUGGCGUAAUGGUCGUCAACGACCCGUCUUGAAACACGGACCAAGGAGUCGAACAUUUGUGCGAGUGUUUGGGUGUUAAACCCUCACGCGUAAUGAAAGUGAACGGAGGUGAGAGCCUUUACGGGUGCAUCAUCGACCGAUCCUGAUGUCUUCGGAUGGAUUUGAGUAAGAGCAUAACUGUUCGGACCCGAAAGAUGGUGAACUAUGCGUGGAUAGGGUGAAGCCAGAGGAAACUCUGGUGGAGGCUCGCAGCGGUUCUGACGUGCAAAUCGAUCGUCAAAUCUGCGC
rnacentral:rRNA from 1 species